rnacentral:rRNA from 1 species
UACAGAGGUCUCAAGCGUUGUUCGGAUUCAUUGGGCGUAAAGGGUGCGUAGGCGGCGCGGUAAGUCGGGUGUGAAAUCUCGGAGCUUAACUCCGAAACUGCAUUCGAUACUGCCGUGCUUGAGGACUGGAGAGGAGACUGGAAUUUACGGUGUAGCGGUGAAAUGCGUAGAUAUCGUAAGGAAGACCCGUGGCGAAGGCGGCUCUCUGGGACGGUACUGACGCUGAGACGCGAAAGCGUGGGGAGCGAACAGG